ACAGCGUGUCAGAUUCCUGUGGUAUGCUCCUUUCUGGCUGGACUUGCACCUGCUGCGAGCUUUAACCCUACACUCAUACUGAGCACAGACUGAGGAGCCUCUGCCAAACUUCAGUCAAAAAAAAUCCAGGGCCAACUAUAUGCGGCCAGACUGACUCAACUGUAGUUGGUGGAUACUCUGCAGAAGUUCCUGGACUAUGCUGGAAGAGGACACUGGCCCGAGUGUGGGGUCAGCGAGGGACUGAAGACACAGGACUCCCUCGGGAGGGCUAUCGGCAUGAGAUCUCACAAUGUUCAGGAAUUUCCCCAGCAUCCCUUACUAGAGCAGGCAGUGUGUGUUUCUGAGUAGCCAACGUACUGGCGCAACUAC